rnacentral:rRNA from 1 species
AGACAAGAUUCCGGGCCCUACGGGGCGCAGCAGGCGCGAAACCUUUACACUGCACGCCAGUGCGAUAAGGGGACCCCGAGUGCACAGGCAUAGAGCCUGUGCUUUUCUGAACCGUAGGGAGGUUCAGGAACAAGAGCUGGGCAAGACCGGUGCCAGCCGCCGCGGUAAUACCGGCAGCUCGAGUGAUGGCCGAUCUUAUUGGGCCUAAAGCGUCCGUAGCUGGCCUUGCAAGUCCGUCGGGAAAUCCACCCGCUCAACGGGUGGGCGUCCGGCGGAAACUGUGAGGCUUGGGACCGGGAGGCUUGAAGGGUACGUCCGGGGUAGGAGUGAAAUCCCGUAAUCCUGGACGGACCGCCGAUGGGGAAACCACUUCAAGAGAACGGAUCCGACAGUGAGGGACGAAAGCUAGGGUCUCGAACCGGAUUAGAUACCCGGGUAGUCCUAGCUGUAAACGAUGCCUGUUAGGCGUGACUCCCACUACGAGUGGGUGUUGUGCCGUAGGGAAGCCGCUAAACAGGCCGCCUGGGAAGUACGUCUGCAAGGAUGAAACUUAAAGGAAUUGGCGGGGGAGCACUACAACCGGAGGAGCCUGCGGUUUAAUUGGACUCAACGCCGGACAUCUCACCAGCAUCGACUGUGGUAAUGACGGUCAGGUUGAUGACCUUACCCGAGCCACAGAGAGGAGGUGCAUGGCCGCCGUCAGCUCGUACCGUGAGGCGUCCUGUUAAGUCAGGCAACGAGCGAGACCCGCAUCCUUACUUGCCAGCAGCACCGCGAGGUGGCUGGGGACAGUAGGGAGACCGCCGUGGCUAACACGGAGGAAGGAACGGGCAACGGUAGGUCAGUAUGCCCCGAAUAUGCUGGGCAACACGCGGGCUACAAUGGUCGAGACAAUGGGUUCCAACGCCGAGAGGCGACGGUAAUCUCAGAAACUCGAUCGUAGUUCGGAUUGUGGACUGAAACUCGUCCACAUGAAGCUGGAUUCGGUAGUAAUCGC